ACAGGGGCGAACGAGGGAUUAUGUUUCGAUUAAGGUAACAUUACUUACGAAAAGCGUCUAAGAUGGUUUUAAAUUCUUCAUUAGUAAGAGUAAUGCCUUUCCCCAUUUUCGUAUGGUCUGGACUCCACGUGCGGAUAUCCCAUUUCGCUUCUGCGCCAUUAAA
rnacentral:antisense_RNA from 1 species